UACAGAGGGGGCAAGCGUUGUUCGGAAUUACUGGGCGUAAAGGGCGCGUAGGCGGCCUGUUAAGUCGAACGUGAAAUCCCCGGGCUCAACCCGGGAACUGCGUCCGAUACUGGCAGGCUUGAAUCCGGGAGAGGGAUGCGGAAUUCCAGGUGUAGCGGUGAAAUGCGUAGAUAUCUGGAGGAACACCGGCGGCGAAGGCGGCGUUCUGGACUGCUACUGACACUGAGGAACGAAAGCCAGGGGAGCAAACGGG
rnacentral:rRNA from 1 species